rnacentral:piRNA from 1 species
UGUGUUCUUAACCACACAUCUGGGCCAAAU